rnacentral:rRNA from 1 species
GACGAACCGUGCGAACGUUAUCCGGAUUUACUGGGCGUAAAGCGCGUUCAGGCGGUUUGGCAAGUCGGGCAUGAAAUCUCUCGGCUCAACCGGGAGAGGUUGUCCGAUACUGUUAGACUGGAGGGCAGUAGAGGGUGGUGGAAUUCCGGGUGUAGUGGUGAAAUGCGUAGAGAUCCGGAGGAACACCAGUGGCGAAAGCGGCCACCUGGACUGCACCUGACGCUGAAACGCGAAAGCUAGGGGAGCGAACGGG